rnacentral:misc_RNA from 1 species
UCCGGUUUGGCACCGGCAGUCUCCCAUGAGUCCCCGACAUAACUCGCUGGCAACAUGGGAUAGGGGUUGCGCUCGUUGCGCCACUUAAGGCAACACCUCACGGCACGAGCUGACGACAGCCAUGCAGCAUCUGUGCGCGCUCCCUUGCGGGUCCUUCCCCUUUCAGGUCGGUACGCACCAGCAUGUCCAGCCUGGGUAAGGUUCUUCGCGUUGCGUCGAAUUAAACCACAUGCUCCACCGCUUGUGCGGGCCCCCGUCAAUUCCUUUGAGUUUCAGCCUUGCGGCCGUACUCCCCAGGCGGGGCACUUAAUGCGUUAGCGCCGGCACCCAGGGGGUCGCUCCCCCAGGCACCUAGUGCCCAUCGUUUACGGCGUGGACUAC